CCGCCCCGUCCGGGAGGUGAGGGGCGCCUCUGCCCGGCCGCCCCUACUGGGAAGUGAGGAGCCCCUCUGCCCGGCCACCACCCCGUCUGGGAGGUGUACCCAACAGCUCAUUGAGAACGGGCCAGGAUGACAAUGGCGGUUUUGUGGAAUAGAAAGGGGGGAAAGGUGGGGAAAAGAUUGAGAAAUCGGAUGGUUGCCGUGUCUGUGUGGAAAGUAGUAGACAUGGGAGACUUUUCAUUUUGUUCUGUACUAAGAUAAAUUCUUCUGCCUUGGGAUCCUGUUGAUCUAUGACCUUACCCCCAACCCUGUGCUCUCUGAAACAUGUGCUGUGUCCACUCAGGGUUAAAUGGAUUAAGGGCGGUGCAAGAUGUGUUUUGUUAAACAGAUGCUUGAAGGCAGCAUGCUCGUUAAGAAUCAUCACCACUCCCUAAUCUCAAGUACCCAGGGACACAAACACUGCGGAAGGCCGCAGGGUCCUCUGCCUAGGAAAACCAGAGACCUUUGUUCACUUGUUUAUCUGCCGACCUUCCCUCCACUAUUGUCCUAUGACCCUGCCAAAUCCCCCUCUGCGAGAAACACCCAAGAAUGAUCAAUAAAAAAAAUAAAAAUUAAAAAAAAAAAAAAAGAAGAAAAUGAUAUAUUUUCUUAUACAGUACUCCUGCCAAAAAUUCACAACCCCAAUCCAAUCAUAAGGAAACAUUAGAAAACCCAAAG
rnacentral:lncRNA from 1 species